GAUCAUAUGGAAGAGAUGGAGGAGUGUGUGUGUGAUCAUAUGGAAGAGAUGGAGGAGUGUGUGUGUGUGUGAUCAUAUGGAAGAGAUGUAGGAGUGUGAAAAUGUAUUAGUCUUGUCUAAGGGUACAUAAGGCCAUUCUCUGUGUGUGUGUGUGUGUGGGGGGGGGGUGACUAACCAGAGACCAGGUAGCCUAUUGACUAGCUCCUCUCGUGCUGAUCGAUGCCUCCUGAAGGGAUCUAACUGACCAGUGAAAAACAGCAAGAGGGUCACAGCAAGGUCAGUUACACGAAGCUGAGAGUAAACAGCUGGGUGAGAAUGACCAAGUACUGACUGGAGAGGAAAACCUCAUCAAAACAUUGGAGUUCUUUUAACAAGAUGCAAACAUGAGUAUGAUGAUAGAUGAUGAAUCAUAAAGUGUAUAUAUACCUGGGUUGAUUGCUAUGACGGCUUGAGCGUCACUGAUAAUGCUUUCAAAUGUGUCGUGCAAACUGUCACACAUAUACUGUUAUACUGUUAGACACGAA
ensembl:lncRNA